GGGAGUGUAGGUCAGUGGAGGAGCACUUGCCUAGCUUGCAGGAGGCUCUGGGUUCCAUCCCCAGCACUUCAA
rnacentral:tRNA from 1 species